AAUACCCAGUCGAGCGGCGGACGGGUGAGUAACGCGUGGAUAAUCUACCUUUUGGUGGGGGAUAAUCCGGGGAAACUCGAGCUAAUACCGCAUGAGAUCGAAAGAUGAAAGGGGCGCAAGUCCCGCCGGAAGAGGAGUCCGCGUCCGAUUAGCUAGUUGGUAGGGUAAUGGCCUACCAAGGCGACGAUCGGUAGCCGGCCUGAGAGGGUGAUCGGCCACACUGGAACUGAAACACGGUCCAG
rnacentral:rRNA from 1 species